rnacentral:rRNA from 1 species
UACAGAGGGUGCGAGCGUUGUCCGGAAUCACUGGGCGUAAAGGGCGCGUAGGUGGCGCUGCAAGUCGGUGGUGAAAGCUCGAUGCUUAACAUCGAGUCGGCCAUCGAAACUGCAGGGCUGGAGCACUGUAGGGGCAGAUGGAAUUCCGGGUGUAGCGGUGAAAUGCGUAGAGAUGUGGAGGAACACCGAUGGCGAAGGCAGCCUCCUGGGCCAGCACUGACGCUCAUGCACGAAAGCGUGGGGAGCAAACAGG